CUCUGGUGCGUAAUGGCAGCGCCGUGGCCUCGCGUCCAUCUUUACUGUUCUCUCGGACCUGUCACAAAGGAGUCGCGCCGCCACCGCCGCCGCCACCGCCCCCUCCCUCCGGUGGACCCAGGAGCUAGAGAAAAACUGCCAUUGGAUGACCAGAAUUCCCUGUAGCUGAUAAUGUUGGGAAUAAACUCUGCAACUUUCUUUGGCAUUCAGUUGUUAAAAACAAAUAGGAUGCAAAUUCCUCAACUCCAGAUUCUGAAAACAGUACUUGGAAAACUGAAAACUACCUAAAUGAUCGUCUUUGAUUGGGUUCUUAGCGAGCAGAAGCCUUGGCCAGGGUCUGCUGUUGACUCUUGAAGAGCACAUAGCCCACUUCCUAGGGAAUAGAGGUGCCACUACUACCAUGGGUAAUUCCUGUAUCUGCCGAGAUGACAGUGGAACAGACGACAGUGUUGACACCCAGCAGCAACAGGCCGAGAACAGUGCAGUACCCACUGCGGACACAAGGAGCCAACCACGGGACCCUGUUCCGCCACCAAGGAGGGGCCGAGGACCACAUGAGUCAAGGAGAAAGAAACAAAAUGUGGAUGGGCUAGUGUUGGACACACUGGCAGUAAUACGAACUCUUGUAGAUAAUGAUCAGGAACCUCCCUAUUCAAUGAUAACGUUACAUGAAAUGGCAGAAACAGAUGAAGGAUGGUUGGAUGUUGUCCAGUCUUUAAUUAGAGUUAUUCCACUGGAAGAUCCAUUGGGACCAGCUGUUAUAACAUUGUUACUAGAUGAAUGUCCAUUGCCCACUAAAGAUGCACUCCAGAAAUUGACUGAAAUUCUCAAUUUAAAUGGAGAAGUAGCUUGCCAAGACUCAGGCCAUCCUGCCAAACACAGGAACACAUCUGCAGUCCUAAGGCUGCUUGGCAGAGAAACUAGCAGGUCCUGCAAAUAGGUUUACUUAGCCCAGGAAUACUGGAAUAUUUGCUACAGUGUCUGAAGUUACAAUCCCACCCCACAGUCAUGCUUUUUGCACUUAUUGCACUGGAAAAGUUUGCACAGACAAGUGAAAAUAAAUUGACUAUUUCUGAAUCCAGUAUUAGUGACCAGCUUGUCACAUUGGAGUCCUGGGCUAAUGAUCCUGAUUAUCUGAAACAUCAAGUUGGUUUCUGUGCCCAGUGGAGCUUAGACAAUCUCUUUCUAAAAGAAGGUAGACAGCUGACCUAUGAGAAAGUGAACUUGAGUAGCAUUAGGGCCAUGCUGAAUAGCAAUGACGUCAGCGAGUACCUGAAGAUCUCACCUCAUGGCUUAGAGGCUCGCUGUGAUGCCUCCUCUUUUGAAAGUGUGCGUUGCACCUUUUGUGUGGAUGCUGGGGUAUGGUACUAUGAAGUAACAAUGGUCACUUCUGGCGUCAUGCAGAUUGGCUGGGCCACUCGAGACAGCAAAUUCCUCACCUGACAAAAACAAGCAAUGGGGAAAG